rnacentral:misc_RNA from 1 species
ACAAGCAGUGUGCGCGGCGCGACUUCACGAAUCCGCUGAAGCCUUCCGCGCGUCAAUCGAGGAAACACCGUACUCUGCGUUUUCAUCCACCCACGCGGUGCCCAUUCCGGGCAACUAGAGAACUUUUGCCUCUUACCAGGGCUCAACACCGCACUCGCACACAGACGCACACCCACCCAAAAAAAACCUAGAUAGAUUCGCUCACAGGUACGGGCAGCUGCGCUGCAGUCUUGGCGCCAUGGACCCGGUAAAGCGGCGACUUGUGUACGUGGCUGAUGAAAAUGAGGUACUCCUGAGCGAGCUCUCUGGCACUCCACCGACGCGGCAGUCGCGUCACACGCAGCUUCUCGUGCCUCUUUCUCCGCCAACGUCUUCGCAACAAUCUCCCCACUCGGUGUCCCCGCCUCCGCGCCCAGUCGACGCGACCGCCGAAGCAGCGCCUGUCGCGACGGCUGACAAAGCGUUGCUCGUCUCCUAUGAUGGAUUUCUGCUCACAGACGGCAGCGGGCGUUUCUCUACGCCCCGCGACGCUGCGCAGGCCGCCGACAUUCGCGAUGCUCUAAAGACAUGUCGUUCCUUUCUGAAAGGAUUCUUGAACGCGGCGCGACCUGAGAGUGAGUCAACAGAGUCCUGCAGCUCUGGGGCCUCUAGCUCCACGUAUAUGGAAGAAGAAGACUCCGACUUGGAGGAGACCAGCAGCGAUGAUUCGCCUGUUUCACGCCCGCGCGCCACCAAAGCCGCGAGAGCGCGUCCUCCACAUUCCCAUAUACACAAUCCGACACAGAUGACAGUGGCGGAGCUGAAAGAACUUCUGCGUAAUCGUGGACUUUCGAUUGCUGGUAACAAGGCGUGUCUCGUGAAGCGCGUACAGAAGCUGCGUGCGCACGAGUCGGAGCGCGCGUUGGAAACUGGACCUCUACGUCUCGGUGCAGGUCAACGAACGUUGCAGGGCUCUCUCCGCCACGAGACUAAGCUGAAUUCUGGCGUAUCGGUGCUGUCCCCACCAUUGAGUCCGCUGCCGUCGCAACGGAAGUCGCCAAACUGCCACACUAGUGACGAAAAGAACAAUAGCAUUUGGGGUGCGCUGGUGCACGCGGGCUCGCGCCUUUUUCGGGGAGGGGCACGCGCGUCUUGGGGGUUUCAUACGCGUCCACCGGAGGACGCCGACGACGCACCGCUUUCGACGCGUCGGCGAAUCAGCGCGUAGCAGCUGAGACACAGGUCUCCCUCAGCCUCCGCGACCAGCUUUUGGAGUGUUCGGUGUUACGGUUUUCUUCUGCUUGUUUGUGCCUUUUAUUCUCCGCAAAAGCAUCUGUCGUGUUCCACUACGCAUAUAUAUAUAUGUGUAUUGCCUUCUCUUUAUCACCUUCACGGACUCUACUGUUGUGCCGCGGUGUCGUGUUUGCCUCGCGUGGGCACACUGUCUGUAACUCUUUCGUUCAACGUUGCCAUGGUGAGCGUUUGGAACUCAAAAAGCUUUUGAGGGGCGCACUUUCGCUUCCUGUGAACAAUCAAAGCCGCGCGGCUGCUGCUCACACGCCGACGCGCCUGCGUCCCCUUCCGUGGCGUUCUGACCACCGUGGCGCCCUACCCCUUUUUUUGCCGUUUUUUUUUGGGGGGGGUGUGCGAAUCGGCGUAAUGCACGCCGGUAUGUGUUUCGGCCCUUCCCUUUGUUUCUCGAUGGCGCCAUCACGGUCGCGAGGGUGCUGUCUCCUUCAUAUCGCACUGACCAUCCACCGAUAACGCGUGCCCCUCCCCCCCCCCACACGCACACGUGCUCUCUCUUGUGGUGCUUCUACUGUUGGCAUCGACCGUGCUCUUUUAUUCCUCUCGUUGCACUACUACGAACGGCGUGCCUUCUGCGAGAUUUCUCUCUCCGGUGUAUUUUCGCACUUUUCGAUGCUCACAAAACGUGAUGCGCUCUCCAAAG